rnacentral:rRNA from 1 species
UGAGGAAUAUUGGACAAUGGUCGGAAGACUGAUCCAGCCAUGCCGCGUGCAGGAUGAAGGUCCUAUGGAUUGUAAACUGCUUUUGUAAGGGAAGAAUAAGGAGUACGUGUACUUUGAUGACGGUACCUUACGAAUAAGCAUCGGCUAACUCCGUGCCAGCAGCCGCGGUAAUACGGAGGAUGCGAGCGUUAUCCGGAAUCAUUGGGUUUAAAGGGUCUGUAGGCGGGCUGAUAAGUCAGAGGUGAAAGCGCUUAGCUCAACUAAGCAACUGCCUUUGAAACUGUCAGUCUUGAAUGAUUGUGAAGUAGUUGGAAUGUGUAGUGUAGCGGUGAAAUGCUUAGAUAUUACACAGAACACCGAUAGCGAAGGCAUAUUACUAACAAUUUAUUGACGCUGAUGGACGAAAGCGUGGGGAGCGAACAGGAUUAGAUACCCUGGUAGUCCACGCUGUAAACGAUGGAUACUAGCUGUUUGGAGCAAUCUGAGUGGCUAAGCGAAAGUGAUAAGUAUCCCACCUGGGGAGUACGCACGCAAGUGUG